UGAUGCAGAGUAAAACUCAAAAAACGGUACUCAGUUCGGAUUGAAGGCUGAAAAUUCGCCUUCAUGAAGCUGGAAUUGCUAGUAAUGGCAGGUCAGCAUACUGCCGUGAAUACGUUCCCGGGCCUUGUACACACCGCCCGUCACACCAUGAGAGUUGGGAAUACCCGAAGCCUGUGAGCUAACUUUUAGAGGCAGCAGUCGAAGGUAGAAUCAAUGAUUGGGGUGAAGUCGUAACAAGGUAGC
rnacentral:rRNA from 1 species